GAUACAAUGCCGUUCAUAUUUGAUUCGGUUUGGGACUUGAUAAAACUGGUAGAUUAUCUUACUGAGAGGGAAGAUGUUGACCCGUCAAAGAUAGGAAUCACUGGCGAGUCUCUUGGAGGUAUGCAUGCUUGGUUUGCCGCAUUUGUUGACACUCGCUAUUCUGUGGUUGUCCCCAUAAUUGGUGUUCAGGGUUUUGGAUGGGCAAUUGAGCAUGAUAAGUGGCAAGCAAGAGUGAACAGUAUCAAGGCUAUCUUUGAAGAAGCAAGUGCUGAUUUAGACAAGAGUGCUAUUGAUAAAGAAGUAGUUCAGAAGGUCUGGGAUAGGAUUGCCCCGGGUUUGGCAUCUCAAUUUGAUGCACCAUACACAGUACCAACUAUUGCACCACGGCCAUUACUGAUUUUAAAUGGGGCAGAUGAUCCUCGUUGCCCACUAGGUGGCCUUGAAAUUCCAGAAUCAAGAACUCUCGAAGCUUAUGAAAAGGCUAACUGUACUCAGAAUUUCAAGCUGAUAGCGCAACCUGGAAUUGGUCAUCAAAUGACACCAUUGAUGGUAAAAGAAGCAAGUGACUGGUUUGACAGAUUUCUUAAAGUAUAAUCACCAGUGUAUUACAAAA
rnacentral:misc_RNA from 1 species